UUGAGCCGUAUGAGCGGAAACGCUCACGUACGGUUCUUAGGCGAGAAAGGGCGAGUAAUCGCCCCGACUUAGCCGAC
rfam:Lachnospiraceae bacterium M18-1 genomic scaffold acPFy-supercont1.2, whole genome shotgun sequence.